rnacentral:rRNA from 1 species
UGGCGGCGUGCUUAAGACAUGCAAGUCGUACGGAAAGGCUCGGUAACUUCGGUUACAGAGCACUCGAGUGGCGCACGGGUGAGUAACGCGUGGAUAAUCUGCCUUUGGGUCUGGGACAACCCCGGGAAACUGGGGGCUAAUACCGGAUAAGACCACAGUGCCUUCGGUCACAGUGGAAAAAGAUGGCCUCUCGUAGAAGCUAUCGCCCGAUGAUGAGUCCGCGUCCCAUUAGCUUGUUGGUGAGGUAAAAGCUCACCAAGGCAUCGAUGGGUAGCUGGUCUGAGAGGAUGAUCAGCCACACUGGAACUGAGACACGGUCCAGACUCCUACGGGAGGCAGCAGUCGGGAAUCUUGGGCAAUGGGCGAAAGCCUGACCCAGCAACGCCGCGUGAGGGAUGAAGGCCCUCGGGUCGUAAACCUCUGUCGGGAGGGAAGAACGGUGAUGUUUCGAAUAGGCUCAUCACCUGACGGUACCUCCAAAGGAAGCACCGGCUAACUCCGUG